UCAAAGGUUAAGGAUUAUUUGGGUUUGUUUCGGUGUAUAAAUCGCUGGAUUCAAAAUCCAGUUCCUUCGGGAGUGUGGGUUCGAUUCCCACCUUGAG
rnacentral:tRNA from 1 species